GGGUGCAAUGGGUUUGUGCAUCUGGCGGUUAACCAGAAGGUUGGUGGUUCGAGUCCACCCAGGGACA